GAGUUUGAUCAUGGCUCAGAAUGAACGUUGGGCGGCGUGGAUUAGGCAUGCAAGUCGAGCGAGAAACCUCCUUCGGGAGGUGGAAAGCGGCGAAAGGGAGAGUAACGCGUGGAUACCUGCCCUCGGGUUCGGGAUAGCUGCUGGAAACGGCAGGUAAUACCGAAUGAUAUCUCCGGAUCAAAGGUGUGAUUCCGCCCGGGGAUGGGUCCGCGUCCUAUUAGCUAGUUGGUGAGGUAAUGGCUCACCAAGGCAACAAUGGGUAGUGGGUGUGAGAGCACGACCCACCUCACUGGGACUGAGACACUGCCCAGACACCUACGGGUGGCUGCAGUCGAGGAUCUUCGGCAAUGGGCGCAAGCCUGACCGAGCGACGCCGCGUGCGGGAUGAAGGCCUUCGGGUUGUAAACCGCUUUCGGAGGGGAUGAAAUGCGUGGGGGUUCUCCCCCACGUUUGACAUAGCCUCUAAAGAAGUACGGGCUAAGUUCGUGCCAGCAGCCGCGGUAAGACGAACCGUACGAACGUUAUUCGGAAUCACUGGGCUUAAAGGGUGCGUAGGCGGCGCUGAAAGUUGGGUGUGAAAGCCCUCGGCUUAACCGAGGAAUUGCGCCCAAAACUGCAGUGCUUGAGGGAGAUAGAGGUGAGUGGAACUUAGGGUGGAGCGGUGAAAUGCGUUGAUAUCCCAAGGAACACCAGUGGCGAAAGCGACUCACUGGGUCUUCUCUGACGCUGAGGCACGAAAGCUAGGGUAGCGAACGGGAUUAGAUACCCCGGUAGUCCUAGCCGUAAACGAUGAGCACUGGAUUGAAGGGUCCUCCACAACCCUUCAGUCGUAGCGAAAGUGUUAAGUGCUCCGCCUGGGGAGUAUGGUCGCAAGGCUGAAACUCAAAUGAAUUGACGGGG
rnacentral:rRNA from 1 species